AGCCAUGCAUGUCUAAGUACAGAGACUCGUAUUCUAAAACCGCGGAUGGCUCAUUAUAACAGCUAUAAUUUGAGAGAAAUAUACAUUUAUUUGUCCUAAGAUAACUGGGGUAAUUCUCGAGCUAAUAUUUUUUAUAAUGCUGUGACUUUUGAAGCAGCGGAUUUAUUAGAUCAAAACUAACCUGUCUGAAAAGACAGUUACUUGAUGACUCUGGAUAACUAUUACUGAUCGAACAACCUUGAGUUGGCGACGAAUCUCUUGAAAUGGCUGACCUAUCAACUUUCGAUGGUAAAAUCAAAGCUUACCAUGGUUGUAACGGGUAACGGGGAAUCAGUGUUCGAUUCCGGAGAGGGAGCCUGAGAAACGGCUACCACAUCCACGGAAGGCAGCAGGCGCGUAAAUUACCCAAUACCGGCUCGGUGAGGUAGUGACAAAAAAUAACAAUAUGGGCCCUAGUGGUUUCAUAAUUGCAAUGAGAAUAUUUUAAAUACUUUAUCAAGUAUCAAUUGGAGGGCAAGUCUGGUGCCAGCAGCCGCGGUAAUUCCAGCUCCAAAAGCGUAUAUUAAAGUUGUUGCAGUUAAAAAGCUCGUAGUUGAAAUUCGGGAUGUAAAUGUAUUUAUAAUCUUAGGAUUGAAGUUCAUUUUGUCCUUUUCUGUUGUGUAUAUUUUGGAGGUACUUAAUUGGACUUUCAUAAUAACCGACUUGUUUACUUUGAAAAAAU
rnacentral:rRNA from 1 species